UACGUAGGGGGCAAGCGUUGUCCGGAUUUACUGGGUGUAAAGGGCGUGCAGCCGGGAGUGCAAGUCAGAUGUGAAAUCCCGCGGCUCAACCGCGGAACUGCAUUUGAAACUGUGCUUCUUGAGUACUGGAGAGGCAGACGGAAUGCCUAGUGUAGCGGUGAAAUGCUUAGAUAUUGCGCAGAACUCCGAUUGCGAAGGCAGCCUACCGGCUUCUGUCUGACGCUGAGGCACGAAAGCGUGGGUAUCGAACAGG
rnacentral:rRNA from 1 species